UGGGGAAUAUUGCACAAUGGGCAAAAGCCUGAUGCAGCGACGCCGCGUGAGGGAUGACGGCCUUCGGGUUGUAAACCUCUUUCAGCAGGGAAGAAGCGAAAGUGACGGUACCUGCAGAAGAAGCGCCGGCUAACUACGUGCCAGCAGCCGCGGUAAUACGUAGGGCGCAAGCGUUGUCCGGAAUUAUUGGGCGUAAAGAGCUCGUAGGCGGUUAGUCGCGUCUGCUGUGAAAAUCUCGAGGCUCAACCUCGGGCUUGCAGUGGGUACGGGCAGACUAGAGUGCGGUAGGGGAGAAUGGAAUUCCUGGUGUAGCGGUGGAAUGCGCAGAUAUCAGGAGGAACACCGAUGGCGAAGGCAGUUCUCUGGGCCGUAACUGACGCUGAGGAGCGAAAGCGUGGGGAGCGAACAGGAUUAGAUACCCUGGUAGUCCACGCCGUAAACGUUGGGCGCUAGAUGUGGGAACCAUUCCACGGUUUCCGUGUCGCAGCUAACGCAUUAAGCGCCCCGCCUGGGGAGUACGGCCGCAAGGCU
rnacentral:rRNA from 1 species